rnacentral:rRNA from 1 species
GGGGGGGCUUACAUGCAGUCGAACGAGACCAUUGGGAUCGAGGAUUCGUCCAAGUGAAGGUGGGGAAAGUGGCGGACGGCUGAGUAACGCGUGAGCAAUUUGCCUUGGAGUGGGGAAUAACGGCUGGAAACAGCCGCUAAUACCGCAUGAUACAGCUGGGAGGCAUCUCCCUGGCUGUCAAAGAUUUAUCGCUCUGAGAUGAGCUCGCGUCUGAUUAACUAGUUGGCGGGGUAACGGCCCACCAAGGCGACGAUCAGUAGCCGGCCUGAGAGGGCGGACGGCCACAUUGGGACUGAGACACGGCCCAGACUCCUGCGGGAGGCAGCAGUAGGGAAUUUUCGUCAAUGGGCGCAAGCCUGAACGAGCGAUGCCGCGUGAGUGAAGAAGGCCUUCGGGUCGUAAAGCUCUGUUGCGGGGGAAAAAAGGCAGCAUCAGGAAAUGGGUGCUGACUGAUGGUGCCCCGCCAGAAAGUCACGGCUAACUACGUGCCAGCAGCCGCGGUAAUACGUAGGUGGCGAGCGUUAUCCGGAAUGAUUGGGCGUAAAGGGUGCGCAGGCGGUCCUGCAAGUCUGGAGUGAAACGCAUGAGCUCAACUCAUGCAUGGCUUUGGAAACUGGAGGACUGGAGAGCAGGAGAGGGCGGUGGAACUCCAUGUGUAGCGGUAAAAUGCGUAGAUAUAUGGAAGAACACCAGUGGCGAAGGCGGCCGCCUGGCCUGUUGCUGACGCUGAGGCACGAAAGCGUGGGGAGC